rnacentral:rRNA from 1 species
AGCGAACGCUGGCGGCAGGCUUAACACAUGCAAGUCGAGCGGGCAUAGCAAUAUGUCAGCGGCAGACGGGUGAGUAACGCGUGGGAACGUACCUUUUGGUUCGGAACAACACAGGGAAACUUGUGCUAAUACCGGAUAAGCCCUUACGGGGAAAGAUUUAUCGCCGAAAGAUCGGCCCGCGUCUGAUUAGCUAGUUGGUGAGGUAAUGGCUCACCAAGGCGACGAUCAGUAGCUGGUCUGAGAGGAUGAUCAGCCACAUUGGGACUGAGACACGGCCCAAACUCCUACGGGAGGCAGCAGUGGGGAAUAUUGGACAAUGGGCGCAAGCCUGAUCCAGCCAUGCCGCGUGAGUGAUGAAGGCCCUAAGGUUGUAAAGCUCUUUUGUGCGGGAAGAUAAUGACGGUACCG